rnacentral:rRNA from 1 species
AUUGAACGCUGGCGGAAUGCUUUACACGUGCAAGUCGAACGGCAGCACGGGGGCAACCCUGGUGGCGAGUGGCGAACGGGUGAGUAAUACAUCGGAACGUGCCCAGUCGUGGGGGAUAACGUAGCGAAAGCUACGCUAAUACCGCAUACGAUCUACGGAUGAAAGCGGGGGAUCGCAAGACCUCGCGCGAUUGGAGCGGCCGAUGGCAGAUUAGGUAGUUGGUGGGGUAAAGGCUCACCAAGCCAACGAUCUGUAGCUGGUCUGAGAGGACGACCAGCCACUCUGGGAGUGAGGCACGGCCCAGACUCCUACGCGAGGCAGCAGUGGGGAAUUUUGGACAAUGGGCGCAAGCCUGAUCCAGCCAUUCCGCGUGCAGGAUGAAGGACCUCGGGUUGUAAACUGCUUUUGUACGGAACGAAACGGCGCUUUCUAAUACAGAGCGCUAAUGACGGUACCGUAAGAAUAAGCACCGGCUAACUACGUGCCAGCCGCCGCAGUAA